rnacentral:lncRNA from 1 species
GUGACCACCAGCGAGUGACCGAGUGACAGUGACCGAGUGACCAUCAGUGACCAAGUGACCAUUGCUGACCAUCACUGACCAUCACCGAGUGACCGAGUGACCGUCACCAAGUGACCAUCAGCAAGUGACCAUCACUGACCAUCACCAACUGUCACCGAGUGACCGAGUGACCAUCGCUGUCACUGAGUGACCGUCACCGAGUGACCAUCACUGAGUGACCGUCACUGACCAUCACCGUGUGACCAUCACUGAGUGACCAUCACUGACUAUCACUGAGUGACCGUCACCGAGUGACCGUCACUGAGUGACCGUCACUGACCGUCACCCCGUGCCCGUCACCGCGCAGUCGCUCAUUAAAGGUUGCCAGGCAGCCGUUGCCAGGCGUUUCCCGGUUGCCAGGCAACGGUUGCCAGGCGCCGACUGUUGUCCAGUUGUUCCCAGGGGAAUUCCCGGGGCGGGGGGAGGGGCCGUUCCAGGGUUUUCCCAAGGAAUUGUCCCGGGAUUUUCCCAGGGGCUGUUCCGGGGGGGUUCGUUGUCCCCAGGAUUGUCACUGUCACCCCCGGGAUUGUCACUGUCACCCCCAGGAUUGUCACCGUCACUUCUGGGGGUGUCACCGUCACCCCCAGGGGUGUCACUGUCACCUCUGGGAUUGUCACCAUCACCCUCGGGGGUGUCACUAUCCCUGUCUCUGUCCCUGUCACCCCCAGGAUUGUCCCUGUCACCCGCAGGGGUGUCACCCUGUGAGGUCACCCUGUCAGGCCUGUCCCUGUCUCUUCUGGGGGUGUCACCGUCACUCCCGGGGGUGUCACUGUCAGUCCCAGGGGUGUCACUGUCACUCCCGGGGGUGUCACCGUCACUCCUGGGGGUGUCCCUGUCCCUGUCACCCCCAGGAUUGUCCCCAUCCCUGUCCCUCCUGGGGGUGUCACUGUCAGUCCCGGGGGUGUCACCGUCACUCCCGGGGGUGUCCCUGUCCCUGUCCCUGUCUGUCCUGGGGGUGUCACCGUCACUCCCGGGGGUGUCCCUGUCCCCGUCCCUGUCCCCCCCGUGCCCGUGCCCCUCAGUACGGGGAGAAGAGCAGGGGGGCG